GGAGAAAUAGCUCAGUGGUUAAGAGCACUGGCUACUCUUCCAGAGAUCCUGAGUUCAAGUCCCAGCAACUACA
rnacentral:tRNA from 1 species